rnacentral:rRNA from 1 species
CAAUAGCGUAUAUUAAAGUUGUUGCAGUUAAAAGCUCGUAGUUGGAUUUCUGGCAGGAGCGACCGGUCGCACGCUAUGCGUGUGAACUUGUGUUGUCUCUGGCCAUCCUUGGGGAGAUCCCGUUUGGCAUUAAGUUGUCGGGCGGGGGAUACCCAUCGUUUACUGUGAAAAAUUAGAGUGUUUAAAGCAGGCUUAUGCCGUUGAAUAUAUUAGCAUGGAAUAAUAAGAUAGGACCUCGGUGCUAUUUUGUUGGUUUGCGCACAGAGGUAAUGAUGAACAGGGACAGUUGGGGGUAUUUGUAUUUCGUUGUCAGAGGUGAAAUUCUUAGAUUUACGAAAGACAAACUACUGC